CUGUAAUGUGCGUACUUCGCAGUCGUCGUUCCUCUUGAGGAAACAAAGCUAUUCGGAGCUUCUAACCUUGGAUUAAAACUGCACAGUUGACUGGUGGAAAAUUCAAUGUAUAUUAGACUGAGCAUGUGCAACACAAAGAAAUCUCAGGAAACGGGAGAGCAAAUAAUGCGGAUGAAAUGUACUGCGAUCUGGUCCCAUCAACUGCCAACUAAUCAGUUGUUCCUGUCCUAAAGGAUGAAAAUGUGCAACAGGAAAAGAAGCAAAACCUUGAUGAGUGAGAGUUUGAAAAAACAUAUGAGAUUGAUUCGGUCGAGGCUGCGAUUAAAUCUGUCUAUUUGCACGAGCAAUGUUUAGAUGUA